GUAGGUGGCAAGCGUUGUCCGGAUUUACUGGGCGUAAAGGGCGUGCAGGCGGUCUGUUAAGUCUAGGGUGAAAGCUCCCGGCUCAACUGGGAGAGGUCCUUGGAUACUGGCGGACUUGAGGGAGGCAGAGGAGAGUGGAAUUCCCGGUGUAGUGGUGAUAUGCGUAGAUAUCGGGAGGAACACCAGUGGCGAAGGCGGCUCUCUGGGCCUUACCUGACGCUGAGACGCGAAAGCGUGGGGAGCGAACCGGAUUAGAUACCCGGGUAGUCCACGCCGUAAACUAUGGACACUAGGUGUGGGGGGUAUCGACCCCCUCUGUGCCGAAGCUAACGCAAUAAGUGUCCCGCCUGGGGAGUACGGCCGCAAGGCUA
rnacentral:rRNA from 1 species